UGCAUCUGCAGCCCAUGAGGAUGAGAACCUCCGGGGGCAGGGAGGUUCGACUCGAGCGAAGCGAGAGAACGUUGCGCCAGCAACG
rnacentral:sRNA from 1 species